CAGCAGUCGCCGCGGUAAUACGUAGGUGGCAAGCGUUGUCCGGAAUUAUUGGGCGUAAAGGGCUCGCAGGCGGUUUCUUAAGUCCGAUGUGAAAGCCCCCGGCUCAACCGGGGAGGGUCAUUGGAAACUGGGAAACUUGAGUGCAGAAGAGGAGAGUGGAAUUCCACGUGUAGAGGUGAAAUUCGUAGAUAUUGGAAAGAACACCGGUGGCGAAGGCGGCGACCUGGUCUUUAACUGACGCUGAGGUGCGAAAGCGUGGGGAGCAAACAGGAUUAGAUACCCGCGUAGUCCCUGUCUCUUAUAA
rnacentral:rRNA from 1 species